GAGUUUGAUCCUGGCGUCAGGAUGAACGCUAGCGGCAGGCUUAACACAUGCAAGUCGAGGGGCAGCAUAAUGGAUAGCUAAUAUCUAUGGUGGCGACCGGCGCACGGGUGCGUAACGCGUAUGCAACCUACCUUUAACAGGGGGAUAACACUGAGAAAUUGGUACUAAUACCCCAUAAUAUCAUAGAAGGCAUCUUUUAUGGUUGAAAAUUCCGAUGGUUAGAGAUGGGCGAUGCGUUGUAUUAGCUAGUUGGUGGGGUAACGGGCUCACCAAGGCGACGAUACAUAGGGGGACUGAGAGGUUAACCCCCCACCACUGGUACUGAGACACGGACCAGACUCCUACGGGAGGCAGCA
rnacentral:rRNA from 1 species